AUACGGAGGGUCCGAGCGUUAAUCGGAAUUACUGGGCGUAAAGCGCGCGUAGGUGGUUCAGUCAGUCAGAUGUGAAAGCCCCGGGCUCAACCUGGGAACUGCACCUGAUACUGCUGAGCUAGAGUACGGUAGAGGGCAGUGGAAUUUCCGGUGUAGCGGUGAAAUGCGUAGAGAUCGGAAGGAACACCAGUGGCGAAGGCGACUGCCUGGACUAAUACGGCACCGGAGGUGCGAAAGCGGGGGUAGCAACCAGGAUUAGACCCCCGGGUAGUCCACGCCGUAAACGAUGUCAACUAGCCGUUGGGGGACUUGAGCCUUUAGUGGCGAAGCUAACGCGAUAAGUUGACAGCCUGGGGAGUACGGCCGCAAGGUUAAAACUCAAAUGAAUUGACGGGG
rnacentral:rRNA from 1 species